GACAAAGCACAUUUGUAUUUUCUCUUGAGUAUAAUUAACAGCCAUUAUCCGUGUACAUCAUCAUAUAAAGAAAUACAUUAGAAGGAAUCCCUUUGACAAAGCUCACGUGUCUUACAUAAUUAUGAAUCUAUCUUUAGUAUCCUUACGUUAAGAUUACAUUAUGAUAAAUAGACUAUGGCUUCAAAAAAGCAACUAACAAAAAAUGUAUAUAUGUAGUUCAUUAGUUGAAAAUUUAUUUCCUUUCUGAUUGGAGUGCAAAGUAUAUAGGACCCAAGAUAAAGACCUUGCAGUAGGAGUGGCAGGACGACUACGUAAGAACUUAAAGGAGGUCAAAGUUAGUCUGCCAUCAAGUGUAGUGUCUCCUAUUGUUCGAUUCCCUUCACCGAGUCGGGCUCUCUCUGGACGUUCAGUUAGCUCCAAAAGGAAUAUGGAGUUUUAUAGUUUGAAUAUGACGGGCUUUGAUGGAGGACAUAACCUGGUUCCUCCUCCUCCCAGUAAGAAGAGGGAUGUGGAGAAAGAGGCUUCAAUCGAUCUCUUAUGGAUGGGUGAAGAAACAAUUAUUUAGACAUUUAUAUCGUUUUAUUAUUUUAAUUGAGUAUUUUUGGAAAUAAACGAAUGUAUGUAUAUUAAAAA
rnacentral:lncRNA from 1 species